GGAGAAACUGAGACUCAUAAAUAUUAGAUCCCUUGCCCAAGGUCACACAACUGAUAAAAGUUGGAAUGAGGUUUUGCACCUGUAACAGCAUCCCUAGUGCUCCUAAGUGGCUGGCUUCUGAGAGCAUUUGGUUGCAAAAUUAAAUGUUGGAGUUGCAGAAUAACACGCAGGCAAUAAUUAUUAUUGGUGCCAUGCCUUACUAUAUAGUUUAUUGUAAUUAUUUCCUUGAUGAUAAUAAUAGUUUCAAGUUAAUGGAUUUAUAGAUGAUUAUAGCAAAAAGCAUACAAUGAUGUAGAGGUGGUGCCAGAAGAGUCUGCAUUACACUUAUGAAUUUCCAAGGAUCCAUGAGACACACCCUCAGCCUUGCAGACUGAGGAAACUGAAGUGUUGGUGCAUGGAGGAGAAAUUCACUUCUCAGAGUAGGACUUACAUUUACCAACCUCAAAAAGUCACAUAGUCCCAAAAAUAAUAAUUUAUGAGCUCACAUUGAAAAUAAUACAGUCACUAUGUUGAGGGACAAACUUUACUGGCAUAUCUAUACUACUUGGUCUCCCUGAGGGCAACUGCAUUAAAUCUCCUCUGUACUUGGAAGGGCACUCAAUGACUAUGGAGGUUAGAGAUGUGUUUGGUAGCCUCCAACUGACAUAACCUGAAAGAGCCAC
rnacentral:lncRNA from 10 species